rnacentral:rRNA from 1 species
AUGAAUGGCCUCAAGUUUAAUUUUUGCUGUUGGAAUGUUCGUGGCCUUGGCCAAAGUCAGAAAUGCUCGGACGUCCUAUCUGAGCUUAUCGCCAUUAACCCACAUGCGUGUUUCCUUCAGGAAACCAAACUCAACUCUAUCACUACCUCCCUUCAGAAAAAAUUCCUCCCAAAGCACCUCGAUCUCACCCACACCUUGCCGGCCACCGGCUCGGCCGGAGGCAUUCUCUCGGCCUUCUCUUCCUCCCAGUUUACUCUCCUCACUUCGAACACCGGCAAUUUCUCCCAAACUUCUACGAUCUCCUGCCUUGCCUCCCCCCAAAAGCUCGCCGUCACAAUCGUGUACGCUCCCACUGACCAUGCCCUCAAGCAGGAUUUUCUGUCUGAGCUGGCCUCCUUCGUCCCACCCUCACACACCCCCUGGCUUAUCUUGGGCGACUUCAAUCUCCUACGGCGCCCCUCGGACAAAAACACGAAUAACUUCAGGCAAUCUGAAGCGGACAUGUUCAACGCCUUUAUCCACCUUCAUGGGCUAAUAGAGCUCCCUCUCCUGGACCGCUGCUAUACUUGGUCGAGCAAGAGGGAUCAGCCCACCCUUGAAAAAUUAGACCGAGUUUUCAUUAAUGUUGACUGGGACCUCCUCUUCCCAAACACCACAAUUGCAUCACUAACCUGAUAUAUUUCCGAUCAU